rnacentral:rRNA from 1 species
GACGAACGCUGGCGGCGUGCUUAACACAUGCAAGUCGAACGGAAAGGCCCUGCUUUUGUGGGGGGCUCGAGUGGCGAACGGGUGAGUAACACGUGAGUAACCUGCCCUUGACUUUGGGAUAACUGCAGGAAACUGGGGCUAAUACCGGAUAGGAGCUCCUGCUGCAUGGUGGGGGUUGGAAAGUUUCGGCGGUUGGGGAUGGACUCGCGGCUUAUCAGCUUGUUGGUGGGGUAGUGGCUUACCAAGGCUUUGACGGGUAGCCGGCCUGAGAGGGUGACCGGCCACAUUGGGACUGAGAUACGGCCCAGACUCAUACGGGAGGCAGCAGUGGGGAAUAUUGCACAAUGGGCGGAAGCCUGAUGCAGCAACGCCGCGUGCGGGAUGACGGCCUUCGGGUUGUAACCCGCUUUCGCCUGUGACGAAGCGUGAGUGACGGUAAUGGGUAAAGAAGCACCGGCUAACUACGUG